UUAUGUUGUGACCUCUGAGCUCCAGAUUGGGACAGAGGGAAUCAGCAUAAUUUUUUGUGGUGCAUUUACUUGAUUGGUGCUUGGGGAUGUUUGAGGCAGAUUUGUUUCCGUCGUUUUGAGGCCAGCUUGCUGGUACCCAAACGGUGUUAGCAUUUUUUGUCUUGGGCAUUUGAGUAUGGCUUACGGGCAUUUAUUGGUUCGAUCUGAGUGUAAGUUACGGUCGCAUGCGACACGUGCUUUUCAAUUAGUUCGGUCCAGUUAAUGCUCUCGUACUCGUUCCCCAUGUAAAAGCCGGUCAUCUAUCCGACCCGUCUUGAAACACGGACCAAGGAGUUUAUCGUGUGCGCAAGUUUUUGGGUGUUAAAAACUUAAAAGCGAAAUGAAAGUAAAUGACUCUUUAGAGUCUGAUGUGCGAUCUUGUAAAAAAGUGUAGCAUGGCCCCAUUCUAACUGUUUACAGUAGGGUGGCGGAAGAGCGUACGCGGUGAGACCCGAAAGAUGGUGAACUAUUCCUGAGCAGGACGAAGCCAGAGGAAACUCUGGUGGAAGUCCGAAGCGGUUCUGACGUGCAAAUCGAUCGUCUGACUUGGGUAUAGGGGCGAAAGACUAAUCGAACCAUCUAGUAGCUGGUUCCUUCCGAGGAA
rnacentral:rRNA from 1 species